GCCAUCCUUUCUCGUCAUCUUCCUUUGAGCCGUCACCGUCGAGGGGCCAGCAAAGAGAGGGAACGAAUGCGAGAGUCAAGGUCACCGCCGAGGAGAGGAGCUGUGUUCCACGCCGCUGUCGCCAUCGAUCCACGGCCACCACCGCGAGGGUUCCGCCGCCGUCCAUGCGCUCAGUUCCCUUUGUUGUUCUGUCCAGCAUCACCGGCACUAAAGUCAGCUUCUACCACCGUCAAGCUUUGUUGGAGCUGGUGCUGUUUUUGGAGGUUUGGAGUGGAGGCUUGCCCAGUUCUGUCUCUGCUCAUGGUUCUCGCAGCUGCCGGAGCCUCUGCCGCCAUCAAAGCUGCUGUGGAUUCGUAAUAUUGGGUUUACCGCAUUUAAAUUCUUCAAUUAUGGCUAAUUGAGAUCGGAGAGGAGAGGAGGCGUUUAACCUUGUCAUUGUUGCUGCCAUGGAAAUAGGUGCUGAAAACUACUAAUGGAGCAGCUGCGUUUAGUGAAUUUUUGCGAGUUUCGACUUUGAGUGAUACAGGUUCGAAGACACAGUUUGAAGCUGCGUGCGGGCGAUUGUUAGACCUUAUUUAUGAGUAAGUUUUUGAAUUGAGUUGCUUUCAUAGAGUUUCCUCGCCCUUAUUGCUUAAGAUUUUUAUUUUAUACAUAGGGAUAGGAUUUGUAUCUAAGUUUUAUUUGAAAUCUUUUAUAUGACGGAUAUUAUUAUUAACAAUUAUGUGAUUACUAUUACUUUGAAAUGUUUGAUAUAUGAUUUUGAUAAACAAAAACAAAAUUUUUCUGGAAUUUUCU